rnacentral:rRNA from 1 species
AUACGGAGGCUGCAAGCGUUAUCCGGAUUUAUUGGGUUUAAAGGGUGCGCAGGCGGCCAUUUAAGUCAGCGGUUAAAUCGUGGGGCUCAACCCCAUUCUGCCGUUGAUACUGGGUGGCUUGAUUGCGGUCGAGGUUGGCGGAAUUCGUUGUGCAGCGGUGGAAUGCAUAGAUAUGACGAAGAACACCGAUUGCGUAGGCAGCUGACCAGAUCGCAAAUGACGCUCAUGCACGAAAGUGCGGGGAUCGAACAGGAUUAGAUACCCUGGUAGUCCGCACAGUAAACGAUGAAUACUUGUUUUCGGCGAUAUAAUGUCGGAGGCAAAGCGAAAGCGAUAAGUAUUCCACCUGGGGAGUACGCCGGCAACGGUGAAACUCAAAUGAAUUGGCGGGG